CCUACGGGUGGCAGCAGUGAGGAAUAUUGGUCAAUGGACGAGAGUCUGAACCAGCCAAGUAGCGUGAAGGAUGAAUGCCCUAUGGGUUGUAAACUUCUUUUAUAUGGGAAUAAAACGUUCCACGUGUGGGAUUUUGUAUGUACCAUAUGAAUAAGGAUAGGCUAACUCCGUGCCAGCAGCCGCGGUAAUACGGAGGAUCCGAGCGUUAUCCGGUGUUAUUGGGUUUAAAGGGAGCGUAGGUGGAUUGUUAAGUCAGUUGUGAAAGUUUGCGGCUCAACCGUAAAAUUGCAGUUGAAACUGGCGUUCUUGAGUACAGUAGAGGUGAGCGGAAUUCGUGGUGUAGCGGUGAAAUGCUUAGAUAUCACGAAGAACUCCGAUUGCGAAGGCAGUUCACUGGACUGCAACUGACACUGAGGCUCGAAAGUGUGGGUAUCAAACAGGAUUAGAUACCCUAGUAGUC
rnacentral:rRNA from 1 species